UAUCAACUUUCGAUGGUAGGA
rnacentral:siRNA from 1 species